rnacentral:tRNA from 1 species
GACCGCGUAGCUCAGUUGGCAGAGCAUUGGGCUAGUAUUCCAAAGGUCGUAGGUUCGAUUCCCACAGUGGCCG